rnacentral:rRNA from 1 species
GGGUUCACCCAUUGGUCAGGCUUAAUUGUCUGUACUGGUGAGAUGAGUCUCUACCUUCUGAGGAACUUUCGUGCCAUUUAUUUGGUGUGGCUGGAAAUCAGGACUGUUACUUUGAAAAAAUUAGAGUGUUUAAAGCAGGCUAACGUCUGAAUACAUUAGCAUGGAAUAAUGAAAUAGGACGGACUGAUUCUAUUUCGUUGGUUUCUAGGAUCACCGUA